GGGUGAUUACAUCAAAGGCCAAGUAAUAGGGUAUCUGGAUCAGUUUGGCACUUCACUUCCUGUUAAGGUGAUCAGAAAUUGCAACAGAGAUUACAACAAGUGUAUCAAGUAGCAAAACCUUUUACACUGAUUCCAAUGGACGCGAUUUCAUCGAAAGGAUUUGAGACUAUAGAAAAGACUGGAAAUUGCAAGUAAAUCAACUUGUUGCUGGAAAUUAUUACCCUAUCAACCUUGGGAUUUACCUGAAAGAUAAAAGUAAAGAGCUCUCUAUAUUGGUAGAUAGGUCUGUAGGGGGAUCCAGCAUCAAAGAUGGGCAAUUAGAACUAAUUGUUAAAUUCCUCUGAAAUUGAAUGGAGCGUCAGGGUGGCUCAUUAAGGAAUGUUGAUUCUGCUCGUGUUUCAAAUCCCCAGCACCUUUUACUGCUGAUAUCAGGCAAGAAGUGUAGCCCUUUUUCAAUUGCAUUAAGAGAUAUAAAGCAACACGACAUUACUCAAAGCAUGCGCGGGAUACUAGUUGAUUGGCUUGUAGAGAUUUGCAUAAUGUAAUUUUUCUCAUAUAAUACAAUGUUAUGAAUUAUAGCUGAUAAAUUUAGUACGGUUGAACAAUA